CGCUCUCCUCCGCGCCGCCGUCGCCGCCGCCGCCGCCGCCGCGGCGGCGCUUGUGAUGAGUCGAACCAUGGCUGGGAUUGGUAGGAGGAGGGAGGUGGUCGAGGGCUCGGGACGCAGUGG
rnacentral:sRNA from 1 species